GCCGGGCAUGGCGGUGCGUGCCUAUAAUCCCAGCUACUCGGGAGGCUGAGGCAGGAGGAUCACUUGAGUGCAGGAAGUCUGAGCCCUUCAGGUGUCCACAUUAAGUUCGGCAUCUAUAUGGUGAUCUCCUGGGAGCGAGGGACCACCAGGUUGCCUGAGGAGGGGUGAACCGGUCUAGGUGGGAAACAGAGCAGGUCAGAACUCUCAUGUUGAUCAGUCGUGGGAUCACACCUGUGAACAGCCACCACACUCCAGCCUGGGCAACACAGUGAGAUCCCAGCUCUU
rfam:Chlorocebus sabaeus isolate 1994-021 chromosome 8, whole genome shotgun sequence.